rnacentral:rRNA from 1 species
UACGAAGGGGGCUAGCGUUGCUCGGAAUUACUGGGCGUAAAGGGCGCGUAGGCGUCUCUGUUAGUCAGGCGUGAAAGCCCUGGGCUCAACCUGGGGACUGCGCUUGAUACGGCAGGGCUUGAGGGUAGAAGAGGCUCGCGGAAUUCCCAGUGUAGAGGUGAAAUUCGUAGAUAUUGGGAAGAACACCGGUGGCGAGGGCGGCGAGCUGGUCUGCACCUGACGCUGAGGCGCGAUAGCGUGGGGAGCAAACAGG